rnacentral:snoRNA from 1 species
CACCUCUCAGAGUCGCACCUGGAGAGUUUCCAGUACUCUAUCGGUCUCGACUAUGGGAGGGAGAGUCAAGCAGAGGCCUAGCCAUGCCAUUCCUAACUUGGGCAGUGGCUAGCGAGCGGAAGGCAAUCUGCUACAAGU